UACGGAGGGGGCUAGCGUUGUUCGGAAUUACUGGGCGUAAAGCGCGCGUAGGCGGCUUUGUAAGUUAGAGGUGAAAGCCUGGAGCUCAACUUCAGAAUUGCCUUUAAGACUGCAUCGCUUGAAUCCGGGAGAGGUGAGUGGAAUUCCGAGUGUAGAGGUGAAAUUCGUAGAUAUUCGGAAGAACACCAGUGGCGAAGGCGGCUCACUGGACCGGCAUUGACGCUGAGGUGCGAAAGCGUGGGGAGCAAACAGG
rnacentral:rRNA from 1 species